rnacentral:misc_RNA from 1 species
CGUGGUGUCUGGUAAAAACAUAGGGGAACUAUUUUGUGCUUUAUUACAGAGUGUAAAUAUCUCACUCUUUGCUAAUAUCACCUAUAUUGCCUAUAGUGAAAUUUUGUGUUUUUAGACAUAUUUUGUGACCCGUGUAUGUGUUAGCGGGGUUAAAGUGCGCUCCCGGUUGCUUCAUUUUUUUGCUGUCAUUCAUUUUCCUUGUGUCAACAAAGCGACGACUCAUUUGUGUUUUAGGCCCUUAACACUUCAGUUGAUUUUGUACGAUAACUACUGCACCGUGUCAUUGGACUUAAAUUUAGUCAAGAUAACUAGUGUAUAAAACUGAUGGGGUUAUAUUAAAACUGGAUAGCUCACAAAGAUUUAAAAACCUACAGUGCUUCCAUUAGGCUAAUUGCAGAAUUAUUUAAAGACCGAGAGAGACAGCUGUUAAACACAAACAGAUUGCAAGGGGAGAUAAUCAAGAAAUUUGAAGAUGACUACGUGAAUAUGACACACGCUAAAACUCAGCUUCUAUUUGUGGAAAUAUUUAGUGCUAAGCCAUAGUUUUUGUUGAUUGGUCGAUAUCUUUUUUGUAAAGAAAUUUAUCGCCCUGCGGAGGAAAUAGUUUUGUUUUUGUUAGUGUAUACACCGCAGUUGUGUUCUGUAUUUAGUCCAUAAUUCCAAGUCUUUCAUAAAUACAUUGUUAUGGCCAUGGUCAAUCCGGCAGUACUAAAUUUGGCGGCGGCUGCCAAUGUUAAAGACUCGCGUUGGUUGACACUUGAAGUGUGCCGUGAGUUUCAAAGAAAUAAAUGCACUCGAAGUGAUACAGAAUGUAAGUUUGCACAUCCUCCGCCGCAUGUAGAAGUACAAAAUGGCCGAGUAACAGCUUGCUUUGAUUCUAUCAAGGGUAAAUGUCAAAGAAAAGAGCCACCAUGUAAAUACUUACACCCGCCCCAACAUUUACGAGAACAGUUGCUACAGAAUGGUAGAAAUAACUUGAUAUUGAAGAAUCUUCAGCUACAAGCGGCUCAACAAGCAGCCAUGAACCAAGGCAUGAUGCCCGGUCUUAUUCCAAUUCAGCCAAGACCUGCGACAGAGUUAAGUGCCCCUUUACGACAGAACAACAAUGUUGCAUACAGUAGCCCAGCGGUUCCCCAACAGUUCCAGAGAGCCAGACCAGAGAUGUUUGAGGCUGGUGCCAACAAGACGGCCAUGGCUAUCCCUCCUACGGUUGUGCCGAGUGCCGGGCAAUACCCCCCUAUGUUGGCACAUCCCUAUAUUGGAGGAACCCCAACACCGACUUCCGCUGUUGCAUUUAACCCAUAUCUCAGUGCCGGCAUCCAGACUAUUGCAGUUACCGGUGCACAAACAAACGGAGAGUCUCCUUCCUUAGUUUCCCAGCAUCCAUCUGGAGUCAUUCCAACUGCAUUUUCCAGUGUUCCUACGGCAAAGUUGGCAAGGCCAGACAGACUAGAGGUAUGUCGUGAGUUUCAGCGUGGUUCCUGCACACGUCAACCAAGCGAGUGCCGUUACGCGCACCCGCCUGAUAAUGUUACGGUUGACACAUCUGAAAACUGCGUAACGGUGUGUAUGGAUUACAUAAAAGGGAAAUGUACACGGGAUUCGUGUCGUUAUUUUCACCCUCCUCCUCACCUUCAAGCGCAAAUCAAGGCCUGUCAGCAACGAGCUAACGCAGCUGCCGCAGCGCAGGCUCAAGCCUUGCCACAAGUGGUCGAGGUAUUGACGGGCAAGAAACGACCUCGUGACCCAAGCGAGGAUCUUAUGCUGUCGCAAGUACCUGGCAUGGUUGGGCAGUAUAAACGUGUAGCGGUGGCCGAUGCGAAGGGUUUACCUAUGUAUCAACCGAUCUCGAAUAUGACGUCCUAUCAACAGGCGAUAGCUGCAAUGCAGUUAAAUCAGCCACAAUACAUACCGGUGUCUUUUGCUGGACACCCUCCCAGUGUGCAAAGAUUUUAAGUUAGGCCUGUGUCAGAGGCCUACAUGCAAGUAUGUUCAUGUUAUUGAGGAUUAUGUAGAAGUAAAUGAGGGUCGUGUGACCGUCUGUAGGGAUGCAGUGCGCGGGAAAUGUUCGCGGCCAACUUGCAAAUAUUAUCAUAUACCAGUUGCUCUCCCACCAUCAGAAUAAUGCCACUAAAAUGUUUAAAUAAGGAAUGUACCAAAAUUGAGUUUCUCAGAAUAUUUUUAGAUGUUUUAAACUAACUUUUCUGCAUUUCAUGUUAAUUUGUGAAAAAAAAAAAUCAAAGAGAAUGAUUCAUUUAUCAUCAUAACUUCCUUAUCCAGAAGGAGGCAAAAAUGAACUGUCAUUUUCUAGUCAAAAUUUUCAAUGAAGGACUUGUUGACUUAACUUUUUACAUGUUACAAGUGGCCGCCGUAGUUGAUUGGAGGAGUGAGAAGUCUGCAACCAACCAAUGAAAACCAAACAUUAUGUGAUAAAAAUAGACAUUUUGUAUGUUAAUUUGUGGUUUAAAACCACUUAGAUACAAAUGCCAUAUCCAUACUAGUAUAGAAAUCUUUAGCAUCAACGUAUAAAAUACGUGCAAAAAUGACACAGAUUCCUGUUCUAGUAUCGAAAUUCUCUCAAUUGUGAUAUUACUGGUGUAAAAAAUGUCAUCAGAGUUAUUUUUCUACAAGCUUGGCGAAGCGUCGGGGGAAAUAUAUGCCAUCUGCUUGUCAGUUUAAUCCUGCUUCACAAUACCCGAGUUGUUUUUUAAGCACUUGAAACAUAACUUCCAUGUAUAGCUUUAAAAGAAAUCACAUAACAAUUGUUUAGAAAUGAAAAAUAUUAAAAAAACAAAAAAAACAACAAAAAGACAGACAGCUCUGCUUUGUUAAUUCUGUCUAUUUUGUAUAGUAAAGGUUCCUUUAUGAUGAAAAAUAGUUCUUGCUUUGGUGAUUGCAGAAGCAUUCCUAUUGAGAACAUUUGUAUUCCUACACAGUGCACUGAUUGGUUCAUUUAUGUUAAUUUUCUGUAAGGGUGCUUUUCAUUGGUUAAUUUGGAAUGAAGAACAUUGCUUUUAACCUUUGACCCCAUGGGAAAUUAACAUGAUAAGGCCAAAUUGACAACUGCAUUACUUCUUCAUAUUUCAUGAUACUUUGAGAAAUGGCUCUCAUGAUUCUGGUGAAGUAAAACUUCACCAAAAUUAUGAAAGCAAAGUGUUUAUUUUUUGUGAUGGUUCUCAAAGCAUUUUUAGUUGUUUUAAUAUUAUUGUUGUACACUUAUUAUUUUUGUAAACAUGACUGGUGCAAUGCUGUAUGGUGCACGCAAACUUCCGAUUUAACUAACGAAACCACGUUCCAAACUUUAAAACUAUGUGCCAUAGAUUGUGAAUGUCCCUGCAGCUGUGGGACAAAACUGUUUCUAAAAUGCCUAUUUUGUAUAAAUACUUGUUUAGAAACUUGUAUCAGAUAUAGUUUCUUUGUCAGCAAAUCUGUCCAUUUAUCAAAUCUUAUUUAAUAUGAAUUGAGUAUCUGAGUCAGCCAUUUGAAAAGCAUCUGUUGCAAUUUUUGGAGUAUUUAGCAGCCAAUUCAAAAUUUCAGAAUAAGUAGAAACAAAGAGAGGAAGAAAAAGAAUCCUCUUUCUAAGUACUGUCUUAGGUUGUUAAACGGUUACAGAAAAUCCGACUUUGUUUUUGCUUUGUUAAUGAUAUUCACUGUUCUUUUAUAAAGUUAAGUCUUUUUACAAGGGUGAAACUUGCAUUUAUAUUUAUUCUUGUCAAGUAACUCAUGAUUUUUUUUUAAGUUCAUCAUUCAUCAUCCAAUAGUCAUCAUAAUGAAUCAACCAAAUUUCCGUUUUUUUGAAAAAGAAAGUGCCAUGUUUUAUUACAUAUUGUAGGUUGAUAAGAAUGUCAAGUUUUUUUAUAUAUGUUUUACUUACAAUUACUGAGAAACCAUUUACAUAUUGUAUAGUGAAAUAUAAGUUGUUGUUAUUAUUGUUAAUUUUAGUCCUUGGCCUUGCUGAAUAACUAAAAUUUUACAUGGAAUACUAUUAAAUAUAAGCAAGAAGUAUGAUGAAAAAGACCAUUAACUAACUGUUAGAUGGAAUUACAGCAUACUCACCUAAGUAAUAUCAGUUUAAUUAUGCAAACAUUCUUUGCUAGUUGUUUUUACAGCAAAUAUGCAGAGUGUUUUUAUUGUAUGUUGGAAAAAAGAAUAGAAUUUAUGAAGAAAAAAAAUCAUUUAGAAGAAAAAUGAUAGAUAUUCAGUAGGGUUAUAGGGCUGAUUGAAUUUAGUCUCAAAUUAUUUCACUAAUUAAAAUGCUAAUCAAUUUGAUAGUCUUGUACAGUCAUUUUUUAAGUGCUGAUUUAUUUGUAAUGAUGAUUAUGGAUGUUUAUUUUUAUGUUUAGAUACAAAUCUUCCGAUUGGUGCAUGAGAUGAUCACAUGGCUCAUGACAUUGGCCAAUGAGAAUCUCUCUUUGAAUUUUAUAAUUUGUUUUUGUUUUGCAGCUCAAUCACAUUAAACUUACGUCAGAUACAAAGCUUUUUUUUUUACAGUUUUAAUUUUGGAAAUAUAAUUGAAACAAAAAUUUCUGAAGUAAAUUGAUAUUUUUUUUUCAUUUCUAUUUUAUACAAUACAUUUUAAAAUGGUUUGAUUAAUAUAUUUAUAAAGAUAUUGAGGUUUUUUUUAUAUUUUAAGUAAUUUAACACAAGUUUUUAUGGAAGGUAAUGCUUUUCUGAAGUUGUUGGUAGUUCUUACAAGUUGUUGGUAUUUUCCACAACUUGGAUUGCAAAAGGUUGAUCCUAUUGUGUUGUUAUUUUAAUAAUGGUUGAGCUGUUUACAGAGUCUGUCUUUGAAAUAACUGGUUAUACAAGUUUACUGGAAAUGUUCAGUUAUGCAUACCCAGGUGCUCACCCAUGUUUGAAAUAACAUCUGGAGGGGUACCUGGGUGUUCUUCCACCGUUAAAAGCUAGAAAGUUGCCUAUAAUUGUGUUGGUGUGAUCUAAACCCAACAAAAAUAAAGAUUUAGUCAGUUUUGAGCAAAUUCUUUGCUUUACAUAUCCCAAACCUGGUACACUGUAGUUUUUUUUCAUUGAUAUAAGCUCACAUUAUGAUUUAUGAAAUGUAAUAACAGUUAAUGCUAAGACAAAACUGAAACGAGAAUGUCUAAUUUAAUUUGUUCUCGAUAUGAAAAAAUUAAAAAAGACUGUUUAAUAUCGGUCACUCUCUGGGUAAAAAUCAAGUACAGAAUAUAUCUCUGUACAAUGUUGAGCAAGCAUAAGUCUAGUUACUGUUUAGGUGCCUGUCAGCAUUUGCAGUAAAAUUUUCAACUUGAACCAGUUAUUUCUUUGAUGAGUACUGCUUUUCAUUUUAGAUGAAACUUCCUUUGUGAAAUUUGAAUAUAAGGUUCCAUUUGUUUUACACAAGUUUUAACACUACAAAGGUGUAACAGAAGUUAGACACAAGAGUUACGUAAUAUGUUUAUUUGUGAUAUGUAUGUUUUUAUUAUAUGUGUCCCAGUGACUUUGUCUGAAGUUGUGGAUUCUAUGUGUAUAUAUGUGAUUUCUGGCAAAAUAUGCCUUCUUAUAUUAGAAUAAAAUUAGUCACAUUUGAGUGUUGUGAAGAUAAACCUGAAAUAUUACGUUACUUUUACGUUACCAUUACUAAACUGUGGGGAAACAAGGUAACAUUUGAUUUUGUCAUGUUAACCUUUGAAUGUUUCAAAGUAUGCCAGUUGACAAUGGAAAGAAUUUGCGGGGCUCUGAAGGAGGCUGCAGUAUUUUAGGUUUUCAUCUUCAUGACUUUAAAUGAAGACUUAUUUAAACAUUUACAUUGGUUAUGGUGAUUACGAUAAUUAUGUUAUGUUACCUCAAUCAGGCACCAAAGGAAAGAAUAUCAGCUGUUGAACAUCUCAGUUAUCUAAUAAAAUACACAUACUGUCUGAUUUGUAAGUUUGUGUUCGUAUAAAAUAAAUCUAUAAGCAUGUAUUUGCAAAAUCUUGUAGGAUUUGUACAGGAAGUCUUUAUUUUCCAUUUAAAUUUUUUAAUGAUUAAAACAAGUUAAAUUUCAGUAUCAGUUAUUUCAUAUAAUAUUCCAAAAGGUCAGUGUUGUAACAUACAUAACAUUUCAUUGAAUGUUUGAACUUUGAUCAAUUUUAAGGUUGUAUGUCAUUCUGAAUUGAAUUUGGGAGGCCGAAGUUCUCUGCAGUAUUUUCAGAAAAUGGGUGGUAACAUUUCACAUUACUGUGUAGUGAUACUGACUUAAUGUGUCUCGCUAAUAAUCUAGCUCUUGCUUAAUUUGUUCAAAACUGCGAUUUUACAUUCCAGAUAAAGUAAACGCUCUGUUUGCAUUACCUGCAUACAUUAAUAAUGCUUAAGAAGUAUAUCUCUUUUAAAAAUUAUUAUUACAGUUUAUUCUUUUAAAAAGGAAUUGUUUUGAAAUAGACAUUUUAAAGUUUUAUUCUUUAAAGCAAUAAAAAAUGCAUAUUAAGCCUUUAGAUUGGGGUAACUCAAUGUUUUUGUAUUGUAAAAUGUGAUGUUAUAUAACUAUGAUUUUUUGUAAAUAGUAAAGUAUGUAACUCUGCAGUGUCAGACAUUAUGGACGUUACAUAUGUAUGAAAGUUGUUACAGUGUGCGUUACUAGAUACGUUACCUGACAUGUUGAUUUUUUGAGUCAGAUUUUGCAUGUUAUUUGAGGACAUUUAAUGUUCUGACUUGAGUGAUUGUAUAAAACACUUUUUGAGAUAUUUUAUAGUGAUGUAAAACGUGUUCUUUUUUGUAAAAUACAAAUAUUAGAUAUCUGUUUUAACCCAAAGUGUAAUUUCUGCUAUGCUUUCCGCUUUUUGUGGCUCUCAGGCUGUGAAACAGCCAUUGCUAUUCUGGCCAUAUUGCAGAUAGUCUUUCCUCUAACAAGUUGUGACUAAUUUUGUUGAUUUAAAACAGGGAAACAACUCUUGUCAAAAAAAUGAUCUUUGUUGAUUGAUUAAAGGGAGGUAAUCUUGAUGUGAAACACAUAAAAAGAAAUUACAUCAUAAUGCCAUUUAUAAAAUCUGAAGUGAAAAUGAACAUUGCUUGAAAAGGGCAAGUAUUUCUUAUUAGUUCAAUUUUUGCUAAGUUUACAAUGACAGACUUUGUUGUAUGCAAUGUGAUAAAUUUCUUCAAAAAGAUAUCCUGUGUUACUAUUUUUGGUAUCUUAGACUUUGCCUUUUAUCGGGCAGUUUUCUGCCAUCAGAGCAAAUCGGUACUCCAGUUUAAGCUGAACAAGUACUAGUAAGUUGACUACAAAAAUAUACUGGUGAACUUCACAAGAUCCCUUUGAAAGGUACAUGCUCUCUGUUACAAUUUGACCAAAGUCGACAUUUUGACAAAUCAUUAAUUUUGUCAUCUAAUAUAUCCCAUGUGAGGGAAUUGUCAAAUCUAGAACCUGAUGAAUUAAGGGCUGGUGCUGGUAAGAAACUAAGAGAACAUGAUAGGUUUAUUUAAGUGCUGUACUGAAACUGUUUAAAGAUGUUGUUUUUUUCUUCCUCUAUGGUUGGGUUGUGGAAGUAAACCCUUUUGAAUGUUGAAAAUUGCCCUUUUGCUCUGGUGGCAUAAAUUUUUAAGUUUACUGGGAGAGACCCAAAAGUUGAAAAAACUAUCACGAAUAGUAUAAAUAUAUGAAAGAAAAUAUUUAAUGUUAAAAUGUUACGAGUCUUUUUCUUUUUUCAGCUAGAAGCUUUUAAAUAUUGGAAAAGAUAAUGAUUUCAAAACUAUAAGUACUGAAGAACAUUUUGAAAAAGUGACAUUACUAAACACUGUACAUACCAUAUUAAGAACUGUACUGUAUGUUAUAUAGACUUCACAUAUUUUGGGAUUUGGUAGGAACUGUAUUUGUAGAUAUUAUUUUGUCUCGAAGAUAUUGAAACAUACAGAUAUAUGUUCAGCAGUUAAUUUUAACCAGUUUUGAAUCUGUAGUACAAAUGAAGACAUUUAAAACAUUCUUGACUUUAGAAUUAAUGUAGUUUUUUUUUUUCUGUACAUUGUUUUAGUCGCAGCUGUUGUUAAUGAUUGUAUAACCAUUUAUCUUUGUUUCAGUAGCCAUGGUAAUGAAUGUUACCAGUUAUUUUUUACAUCGUUGAGAAAGUUUGCCAUACGAGUGCCAUCAGAUGCAGCAAUAUUUUCUUAGCAAUUUACACAAAGUUCAAAUAUUCUUAAAUCGCAGAAAAGUGUGCAAGAUGAUGAAACGAACGUAGAAUUUUUUUUAUUUGGCUCGAACAUGUAGCCAGCACGUACAUGUAUUAAGUUUGAGAUAGAAUUUGAUGACUUUUUUUCUCUGUUAUAGAUUUGAAUGAUUAAAUAAAAUUAUGCAUUUAUUAAAACACAGUUCCUGCAGAAAUUAAAAGAAAAAAAAAACAGGAUUAUUUUUAGAAAGUUAGGUUUCUGAUAUUUAAAUCUUUUUCAUGUAGUUCUGCUAUAUUGGACACAUAGCAAGGUUAUCACAUUCAAAUGAAAAUUACUGUAGGUCUACACUUGCACACUUUUUCUGUUUUAGAUUUGUCUUCCUUCUCAGUUGCCAUGGAAAUCAUGAUUUACAUGUUCAAGCAAACCAGUCCACGUAUUUUUAUGUACGUGUUGUAGUUAAAAAUGUGCUAUUAUUUGAAUUGACCCUUAAUACCUCCUACUGCUAUUUUUUAAAAUAACCUUUUUCGAUGAAAAAGAAAAACAAAAAACUAAAUCAGAAGUUUUCUUUGAUUACGAAAAAUGUAUCCAUCCACAAAAUUACGUUUUCACAUAGUAGGAGAUAUUAAGGAUUUAGCGACCUUGACUUUUUUUCCUAGUAGUUACUAUAUGUUAUAUUUUAUGCUUUUUGCUUACGCUAGAUGGGAAAAUAUAUUUGGGAAUUUAUUUGCUUAUUAUUGUCAUGUGUCAGCUUGCUUAUAUGUUUGAACUCUGAAAGAGAGCUUAAUAAAUGCAGACUUCAUAUAAUCUCCAGUUGAGGCGUUUUGCGUCCCGCUUUUUUCAUUUCUUUGCAUGACCUCGACUUUCAAACGACCUUCCAAGGUUUGAAUCUCUGAUUGCUGUUAUAUUUACAAACUUGAGGAUGUGAAUGCAGAAAUAUUGUAUGAUACUGUCCACCGGCUCUUUUAUUUGGUUACCGAGGCAAUGUUGCUGCACCAAAGGGAGGACACAAUUUAGCAGUAUUUACAAUAGUUGUACAUUCACUCCUCUAGUUGCCAGUAGUACAAACCCAUAGUUUAUCAACUCGUUAACUGGAAAAUGGGAUCACAGUGGCUUUUGUCUUUUACUAACCCGUAACUUUCUUUAGAUAACACAAUAUUGUAAAAACUAAAUUUCCGAGGCAUUGGCACUUGACACAGCUAACACUUAAAAGGCUUUCUUCACUACCUUUUAGAUAUUUGCUAAAUCCAGUGUUAAAUCUGUCCUCCAACUGCUUCUCUGUUAACAUGCUAGAAAUAAUGGUUCAUUGUCAGUAACUAAGUAUACAGUACCAAACAAGAUACAUACCUACAUAACACUGAAUGCCAGCUAGUUGUUCAAGAAAUAAAUCAACGUCACUUGCAUAUUUUGCAUUAUCGUAGCUAAACAUUUUCAAAUUUGUAGAAAUAUUUAAUUUAUUUCAAACCACAAAACUGUUGCAGGUCAAUUUACAGCCAGUUUCAAUCAAUGAAGAUCUUCAAUAUCUCUUUUGAAAGGCAGUGAAAAUGUCUUAUUUUGUGCAUAUUAUAAUUCUUGCAUGAAUAUCAGGGGCCUUAGAGCAACAGAGGUAAGUUUUGCACUUCAACAAAAACAAGAGACAUUAUAACUCCUGCUUUCCCCAUACCCCCGCCUAUCCCUUUUCCUGCACACUAAGGAACCAAAAUCUCAGUAAUACAUGAAACAAAAAGGCUGUAUCACUACUUUAUAUUUAACAUUUACUACAAAAAAAUGUCACAGAAGACUGAAAUGGAAAAUAUACCCAUUUAGCAAAAUGGAAGAUGUAUGAAUAAAAAAUUAGAUCAAUGAUGUCAUCACAGAAAUCUGACAAGUUCGCUUGCCUAGAUUAAGUUGAAGGAAUGCAAGAAAAUAUAGUUGGUCACUUAUAAAAACUUACAUUAGGAAAAAAAUUAAUCUUUAGGUGUGUAAAAAUUGGGACAAUACCAUGAUGGAAUGUUAUUGAUUUGUUUUGCAAGUGAUUUUUCAUAUAAAUUUACCGGUGAUGUUUUAUGUAAAUAAUUUUAAUGUAGAUGUAGGUUUUAGCUAUAGGUAUUGUUUUUAACUUUUAAACUUUUUAAACCUUGCUUCAGAUGAAAUAUACUUUUUUUUUUUAAAAUGUAUUAAAGUUCUUAUUUUCCAGUCUGCAUUGAGUGAGACAGUUAAUAUUCUUAAAAUGAGGAGAAUACUGUGAAACGAAGCUAAUCUAAAGCUGAUUCAGAAAUUAUUUCUCCUGAAUGCCGACGUACUGUGCAACGAAAAGCUCCGGUCUCUGCGGCAUUUCCCCCGCCUCUUAAAAUAGACCAGUUGAAAUACAGGUACACGUAGUAUUUGAUAGAAACUGUAAGCUUAUAGCAUUUAUAUGGCAAUAAAAAUGACGUAUACCAAGUAAUAAUGAAGAAUUGUAGAUGGAAAUGGAUAAAAAUAGUUAAAGAACUGAUCUGUUUAGAUGAUAUAAACAUAGUCCUUCAGUUAUAGAUAUUUAAGAGUACCCUUUUUUCUGGAAGCUGGGAAAAAUCUAUUUUAAGAAAAACUUGCUUGUUACAGAAACCUGCACUUAAUAAAACAAUAACAGUAAUAGAUAUAAUCAUCUUUGGUAAAAUAAUUUAAAAUAAACAAGUCUGAAGGCUUUCAGAUUUAAAAGCGUUGAAGCUUCAUUUUGUUUGCUAUCAGUUUAGCUUUUAUAUGGCUUCGCUUGGCUUGGUGGCAUUUCCCGUGCUGCACAAUUUAGGGGUCGGAUCCAGACAGCCAGUGGCGCAGAGGUUCACAUACAAUAAAUUCAUCCUCAACUGACAAAAUAUAUUGGUACAUUUAUGCACUGGAGAGAUGCAGUACAAAACAAGCUAAAAAGGUAGUCGAAAUGCAAGUUUGCCAAGUCUGACCAAGUGUUACAUGGUUCGGUCCAUUUUAUCUGGUUAUUCAUUUCUGACAACUAUUGUGUCCAGCAGUUUGGAUUACAGACAGAUAUAACACACAAAUGUGACUUGCAGGAAGUUUUUCAAAAAAGAACAAAAGUGUAUAGAAGUAGAUACUUCAGAAAGCUUGUUUAUUCUACUGCAUGCAUGUAUCGUUACAAACACUGGUUAAAAAUUUUGAACAAAAGUAUCUUAAUGGAAAUCCUAACAAAAUAAUAUGAGAAAUGCAAAAACCAGAGUGUUUAAUAAAUGCAGGUACUAAACAUGUUCUUGUCUAAAAUGUCUACUCGUGGAUGCGUCAACAGAUUGUAAUUCCUCUGGAUCCGCCCGCCCCCCAUGCACUGAGUAACGGCUGUAGCGAAAAUUAAGCACCCUUAAUUCUAGCGGCACUUAAAUUUAAGUAACAUAGACCUUAGUAAAAUCAUUUAAUUUAACUAGUGGUAACUAAUUUUUAAGAUUAAACUGUGAAAAUGAUUGCGUGCCUGAAAUGAAUUACUGCCAUGUACAUUCAUAUAGCUUGAUAAAAGAUUCUUGUAGAUGCUUUUAGUUACAAAUUUCCUUAAGAAACAUUUUUAAUUCCACCAUGGUUUUUAAAAUCGGCAUAAUAUUGUACAUUUUUUACGCAUACGCACUAAUGAAUACUUGCUUGAAAGCCUAACCAGUCCACAAUGGACUUUAAACAUGGAGCUUUUAUGAACAAUUUCCUUUGAAAUCUUGCAAAAUUAAAACUUUUAGAUCUCUCCUGCUAGUAAAUAGUAAUUCUGUUUCAGGUUGUGCCUUCUUUUAGAGAUGAAAUUUUGAAAUCAAGACUUUUAUGUACAGUAAAAUUCAAAUUAUUGCAGUCAUUCGAGAUUUGGAAACUGUUUUCGUCCUGGUACAUAAUUAUUACAAAAUAUCUAAAUGGAGGUGUCCAUCAGAAAAUCUAAAAAAAAUACCUUGGUUGCAAUAUGGUAGCCAUAACAAACAAGGAGGUAUACUAGGUUGUUCCAGACUUUAUUAACUUUUACUCGCCAGGCAUUUUAAUCAAUACUUAAGCAGAAUUACCUUUUAUGAGCAAAAGGCAGCAUGUUCCAGUUAAUUCUCUUCUGCUGAGAGCUUUUGCUAAUUGAUGAAAUCGAAAAUUGUGCUUAGGCAUUGAAUAGAGGAGAUGAAAUUGCAACAAUGUUGCUCAAAUUUCAAGCAUUUACAUGUUGUUAGGGAUCUUUUAUUAUUUCUCUUAUCAAAUAAAAUUUGGAUUGAAUUAAUGACAGAUCCCUUUAACUUCAGUUUUGCAAUGAUGAACGUCUUUCGAUUAUUUUAUGUUUUUUUUUAAUGUCAAAUUCAUGGUGCUAUACUUUGAGGUGAGAAAAAUACAAGAGGUUUCACAAACAUUUGAUGUUUACAAUAUUGUAAUGUGUUAGUUACAAAAAUUAAACUUUGUUUCUCCA